GACGGUUGCUGCUUUGGGUGUCUGUGGAGCGUCUCCUCUGCGCAGGGGGCUGUGCCUUCCACUCUGGGGAGGGAGGCAGAGGGAGCAGAAUCCCUGCCUGAAACAGGAGACACCAGGAAUCGUGUCACAGUGAAAGAGUUGGAGGUGACACACCUCCAGGACCGGGGAGGUCACGAGAUAGAGAAAGGGAAGCCCGGGUGGCCCAGGGAGGUCUUUGAGAAGGUGGCGCCCAAACUGGGUCUGGAUGAUGUUGGAAUCCAGAGAAAUGGGCCUGUAACGUGGCAUGUCUCUCCCAGGUGCCUACUACUGAUGAAGGGGAGCAGGAGGAAGGCCGAAGGAAGAUUUCUGAAAAAGCAACCAGCCUCCCAGGUCAGGACUGGGGACGAGUGUGUGUGUGUGUGUGUGUGUGUGCGCGUGCUGGGGAUUACCACUGAGUCACAUCUCCAGCCCUUUUUAUUUUGAGAUGAGGUCUUGGUAACUUGCUGAGGCUGGCCCCAAACUUGCAGUCCUCCUACCUCAGCCUCCCAAGUCACUGGGGUUACAGGCCUGUGCUACUGCUCCCGGCAGGAUUGGCUAUCUUUGUCUUCCUCUGAUCUGGUGGACACGAGACUCUUUGCAUAAAAUCUUUUCAUAUUUGGAUACUUGGCAGAGGAUAAAAUGGCAGAAAUAUUUAAUUACCUGAUUCGUUCAAGUGUGACGUGGUUAGCUAAAACUUAGUGAGGGGACCAUGCGCAGAAGGGAGGAAGCAGUGAACUAUUUCACAGUUGGCCCAGGGUACAAAUGGGUGUGCCACCCACCACGUUCCUGGAGUCAGAAAUGGUAUGCAGACGAGGGGGGGGGUCUUUGUCCUGAGAACCUUGCCUUUCAGCCCCCGCUCCCCACACCUUCAGGUCUGGGAAACAAGAAAGGCCGCGGGUCCUGUGCGUUGGACUAAAUGUGUGGGACUCCGGGGUCCUGGCCCCAGGGUCAGAGGCUGGGCAGUUCCUUGGAUGACUCCCGGGCUGUCCGAGGAGGUCCUGGGUCCGGUGUCCCUGCCUGGCUGGCUCCUUCCAGGUGGACGGCCUAGUGUGCGCAGCGCACCUGGAGGAGCUACUGGACCCGGGGCUGAGCUCUGCGCAGCUGGGACGGCACAGACUUCAGCUCCUCCAUCUUCCCUCUCCCUCUGCUUUCCCCACCUCAGGGCCUUUGCACCUGCUUGUUCCUCUGUCUGGAUGCUCUUCUUCCACCCUCCACUUGACCAGCUCCUUCCUACCACCCAGGUUUCUGCUCAAAGGCUCCCUUCUCAGAGAGCCCGUUCCUGACCCUCAUGUAUGACAGAGGUCCCCUCUCCCACGGAGACUCUCUUCCCUUCCUGGGUUUGCUUUUCUUUUUUCUUUUUGGUAGUGGGGAUUGAACCCAGAGGCACUAACCACAAGGCAACCUCCCCAUCUCCAGCCCCUUUUUCAUAGUUUAUUUAGAGACAGGGUCUCACUGAGUUGCUUAGGGCCUCGCUGAGUUGCUGAGGCUGGCUUUGAACUCACGAUCCUCCUGCCUCGGCCUCGAGAGCCGCUGGGGUUCCAGGCGUGGGCCACUGUGCCAGGCCUGUGGUUCGCUUGUCAUCAUCGCCGUGGCCACCGCUAACGUCACCUUGCACGUGACCUGUUAGUCUGCCUCCCUCGACCACACUGUAGUGUCCAGGGGGAGGGUCUUCUCCGUCAUGCCUUUCUGUGUCCUGGAGACUUAGGGCCAAGCCUGGCCACGGGACCCUCCAGACUUUACUGAAUGAGGGAGGGGGAUGGUGACAGAUGACGAAGUAGUGAUCAUGAGCAGCAGGCGUCUGCUCUUCCUGUCAAGGUGUGGGGUGCGCCCCGAGGGACCUGUCUUUGAGGUCCGUGAACGCUCACCGGUCAGGCUGCUGGGCAGUGCCUGGCCCUGGGUGGCAUCAACACCAACAGUGGGCAGCAUUCGUCGGAGGCCUAGGUCCUGGGUCCACCCGGCUGGGGCUCCUGCCUUCCCAGUGGGACAGUGGUGGCUUUGCUUAGGUGUCCCUCUGGCCGGUCCGGGGUCUCUGGCACUCGUAGGAAGGGUCUUUCUGGGGCAGUUAUUAUGAAGCUGAUUGUCCUUUCCUUCAUUCAGUGACACGUUUUGAGAGCUGCUUUGGAGCAGGCCACGGGAGCCGCUGGGAGCCGGGCUGAGGCACCCGGCCUCCUCUGGCCAGAGAGCCAGCUUGGAGGGACUGGGGUACCCGGGGGGACACUCAGCUUGAGUGGGGGUCCCUUCUCAAAGGAAGUGACCUCAUCUAGUCUGAGACCUACUGGUCAGGUAGGGCCUGGGCCGCACAGGGCUGCAGCCCGGGGGGGGCGAGAAGGGGGCGACCUGUGCCCACUGGGCGGAGCGGGGCCACGUGGCCUCCUGUUCCUCCUGUGUCUCCUCCUUUUUUUGUGGCUCUGGGGCCUGAGCAGGGCCUGUCGUGCGAGGCAGCCUCUCCCCCUGAACUUCGCCCCAGCCCAACCCUUUUUCUUCUUCUCCAGGGCAAGAUUCUCUGCCCGUCCCGCUGCCCACGUUCCUGGUAGCUGGGGGAAGCCUGGCCUUCGGCUCGCUGCUGUGCGUCGGCAUCAUCCUCAGGUGAGACGGGCGGGGGUCUCUGUGACGUCCUGUGUGUCGUAUGUAGCUGCCCUUCACCCCGGAACCACCAAAUGUACAGGGGCUGGGGACGGGGCUUGGUGUAGAGCCCUGGCCUGGGGAGCACGGCGCCCUGGGUUCUAGCCCAGCAGCGUGUGCACACAGACAGACACACGUGCACACGCACACACUCACACACGCGCGCACACGCACAUACACACGCGUGCACACACGUGCACACACACACAGAGCCUGCAGUGAGAAGUGCUUUGGGGUCUUGGAGGCCUCCGGCUGGCGGGCGUGGUGGUGCACCCCUGUGAUCCCAGUGACUCAGGAGACCCGGGGAGGCAGGAGGAUUGCGAGUUCGAGGCUCGCCGUGGUGACUUAGAAAGAUCCUGAAUCCACAUAAAAAAAUCUAAGUGGCUUAGGGCCUUGCUCAGUUUCUGAGACUGGCUUUGAACUUGUGAUCUUCCUGCCUCAGCCUCCCAAGCUGCUGGGAUCGAAAUUAUUUUUUUAAAAAAAUUAAAAAGAGGCUGGGGAUACAGCUCAGAGGUCAGGUGCCCUGGGUUCAAUCCCAUUUCCACACACACACCAUCUGGGAGCAUUUGCUCAUCCAUUUAUUCACUCAGCAAAUGAAGGCACCUCCAGCACACAGAGCGCCCACUAGGAGGCUACCCUGAUUCAGCGCUGCAGGACAGAGGCCGAUAGGGUGGAGGCUGUCUAAUGCGGAGGGCAGACUGGGUAGGUGACCACAGGUGUGUGGGUGACAGCUGCCAACAGAGCCGCUGAGCUGGGCACGGAGGCCCACGCCUGUAAUCCCAGCAGCUUGGGAGGCUGAGGCAGGAGGAUCGUGAGUUCAAAGCCAGCCUCAGCAACUUAGCAAGGCCCUGAGAAACUCAGUGAGACUCUGUCUCCAAAUAAAAAAUAAAAAGGGCUGGGGAUGUGGCUCAGUGAUCAAAUGCCCCUGGGUUUAAUCCCCAGUACCACAAACAAACAAAACUUCUUUUGGAUACAGAACUGGUUAUUUUUGUUUGUUGGUUGGUUGGUUGGUUGGUAUAGGGGGAUUGAACUCAACCACUGAGCCACAUCCCCAGCCCUAUUUUAUUUAGUGACAAAUUCUCACUGAGUUGCUUAGGGCCUCGCCAUUGCUGAGGCUGGCUUUGAACUCACGAUCCUCCUGUCUCAGCCUCCAGAGCUGCUGGGAUUACAGGUAUGUGCCACUGUGCCCUGCUCCUACCUUUUAAAUUUAGCAUUCUAAUAUAAGCAUUUUUUUUCCAUGUAUUUACAAAUCCUUUGCAAACUCACUUUCAUUAGCUGCAGAUCCCUCUAUCCGGGAUUAAUACCCAAGUUCACUAAACCAGUCUCCUAUUAUUGGGCAGUUGGAUGUUGUUCUGCUUUUAUAAACAACACUGUGCUGGACAUCUUUGUGCCAUAAGCUUCUCCAUAGCUCUGUUAUUCCCAGAAGAGGAAUUCCUUAGUCAGAGGGUCUGAAUAUUUUGCAAUCCAGAGUAUAAAGAAUCUGUCCUCUAUCUUCUCACAGGGGAGGAGAAUUCCACUCAAGGACUCAGCAAAACUUCAAUAAGCACCCCGCUGGGCUCUUCCUGUGUGGGGCCCAAGUGGCGAAGCCCUAAGUCACAUUCUGAGGUUGUUUAUUCCAUUUGGUCAGUGGGCUCAGAGCCAAAGGCAGACUUGGAGCCAACUAUCAAUUAUCUAUCCUCACAAGGACAGGAAUAGCCUGCUGAUAUAAAAAGAAGCCAAGGAAAAUGCCCAAAUUUUGUUUUUGAUGUUGGUUUCCCUUCCUCCCCGUGGUGCCUCCUGGAGCCACUGAUAUGUGCUGGACUCAGGGAGGCCAUCUUUCUCCCACUCUGGGGACAAGUCAGCCACAAGGUGGUCAGGAGACGGGGGAGAAGAGGCCCGGCUGCCUGGGCGCGGGUGAAGGGCCCCUUCAGGAAGGAGACCGGCUGCACCUUUGAAGAUCAAUGUCACCAUCUCCUCUUUCUCUGAUUGUCAAGUGACUUCUCUCCGUUGCUGAGCCUGGCUUUGGGCCCAGUGUGGAGCCCCGUGAGCAAGGCUGUGAUCAGAGAGAUAGAUGUCUAUCUCCUUCCUGUUUAGCACCGACUUUCCUGUCGGAUGAGUCAACCUGUGCCCGUGUGCCCACAGCGUGAGGGUGGGCACUCUCGCUGGUUGGGUGGGACGGACCAGAGGCUCAGGGAGAGUUGGGGGGAAUGGGAAUGUCAGGGACAGGAGUGUCACCAAGGGCCACUGAAUGGUGGUUGCACGUGGUCUUCGGGCUGGCCUUGAUUUGAAGGAGGCCCAUUUUCCUUCCCUCUAAAAGAAGACGUUGCUGUUUUGUUUUUUAGUCCUGGGGAUUGAGCCCCGGGGGUGCCCUAUCACUGGGCCACAUCCCCAGCUCUUUUUACUUUUUGUUUUGAGACAGGGUCUUGUUAAGUGGCCCGGACUGGCCUAGAACCUGGGGUCCUUCUGCCUCGGCCUCUUGAUUCAUUAGGAUCACGGGCAUGAUCCACCAUGUCUUGAUGUUUCCCUUUUCAAAAAUAAAUGGACUGGGGACUGACGAUGGAUAGCCUGUGGGACAGGACAAAUUGAGGGAUUAGCAGGGACUUGCUGGUGCUCCACCAGGACAACCCUGCCUGCCUCAGUCCCCCUUUUGCCUAGCCGUGGAGACCUCCCUUCUUGGGAUGCUUGGGGAACUCAGCCGCUCUCCGGAGGCUGGCAGAAUCUCUGGGGUUUGAGACCAGCUGCUGAUGGGAUGAAUCAUCAUCACGCCUUGGAGCCGAGCCUGGGCGCUCCAGACCUCCAGGGCCACCAGCUGUUGGGUUCAUCGCAGGGGACCGUCACAUGGGUGUGAUGUGUCUUUGUGUGUUUGCGUGCAGGUUCAAGAAGACGUGGAAGCCACAGGCCCUGAAAGAGUGCAAGACGGGCGUGCACCCGCCGUAUUCCCUGGGGCAGUCCAAGCCCACCAUUGUGCUGGCUCCCCUCCUUUCCCCACCUGUGUCCCCCAGCAGCCUCGGCUCAGACAGCACCUCGAGCCACAGCCGACCAGAUGCCAGGGACUCGCGGAGCCCUUACGACAUCAGCAACAGAGACUACUUCUUCGCCAGAUAGCUGUCUGGGUGGCCCCUGGCAGCGGGGUGACAGAGGUGCUGAAUUGUGUGGGUGACGCAGCCCACGCUGGCUCUGGAAAGACGCUUCUCACUGCCAUUCCAGCUCAUCUCAGGGGCGUGGGGCAUUUGGCUUCACGGUGACGGAAGAGCCUGCAGAAGGUUCUAGACUGGUGGAAAUCGGCUUGCUACACCUGUUCUGAAGGAAGAGCUGGUUGAGCUUUCAAACCGCUCUUCCCAAGCGCUCUGCUUCGGGGGGUCUCAGCGACUCAGGACACUGUGAAGAGAGCCGCGCCAAGACUCGAUGGGACCGAGGGUGUGGAGGAGCUGCCGGGCACCCCCACACCCGGACUCAUCUCUGCCAGCCGAACCCUCAGGCAGGGGCAGGGGCUUCCAGGAGGCCUGCCGUGGUGGCUGGCUCCUGCCCCUGCCCAGUCGCACCUUGUCCCUCCGACUCUGGAAACCCAAGUGCCUUUGCCAUUCUGUUUCCUGGACUGAGGAUGGCUUUGUGCAAACCACUGAGGCUGGGGAGGGAGCUCUUUCCUGCCUUCCCCCCACACUUGAAAAGCAGCUGGUGUGUGAGUGUGAGUGUGAGUGUGUGUGCAGGGGGUGGUGAAUAAGUCUCAGGGCCGAUGGUUUAAGUGGAAUCAUAAUCAGCUCCUCACGAGUGUUGUGCUCAAUGUGAAUGAUAACCCUAGGCUUUUGCUGGCUACAGAAGCAGCUGCGCCAACUUUGUCCCCCUGUUGGGGUCUCAGGGCUUGAGGACAGAAGCAGAGAGGAAGGAGGGGAGUAGGGACAGGGUCUUCAAGGUCCCCUGUUGUAGCUGAGGGGGACCCCAGCCUCUGGAAACCAGUUUCCUCUCCCCCCUGCCAGUGCUGGGAGCCAAGUCAGUUGACUUCAUCUUGGUUGGUUGGGGUGCCGACCGGACCUGAGUGAUCAGUGUAGACGGUGUCGGUGUGAAAGGAAAAACGAAUCCGCAAGAAUGUGCUUCGUGUUUUUGAAAACCUGCUCUUUUCUCUUGAGGUGCUGGGAGCCUCAGUCUUCUCUGGAUUUCGGUUUAUAAAUAACUUGGGGCGGGGCACGAUGAUUCUGUUUAGCACCAAAGCAAGUCCACUCAAAAAAGGAGGAGGAGGAGAAGAAGUUUCCCUUAUGGAGAAGAGAUUCUGGUUUCAUUCUGUAUUUUGUUUUUGUCUUGCAAACCGUAAAAAUAGUCUCUGCCUCUUCUCUGAAUUGGGGAAAAAGUCACUUGUGACUGUCCCCCUGCCCCUCCCCUAGGUGGUUAGGAAAGAAAGGGUGUCCCCCUUCCUGUUGUGAUGCCGCCCACGAGUACCCGGCAGGGUCCUAGAAAGUCCCCACUGAGACUCAGAAGGGAGGUUCAUUUUUUUAAAAAUAUAAAUCCCUUACCUGGGUUUCUUCCUCUUUUUGUUUUGUUCCUUGAACUGGAUUCGGCUCAGCUCCCAUGGAAGCAGCCGAUGGGUGUCCAGCUGUGACACCCGUAACCACCAGCUCACUUUCCUGUCGGGGCUUUGAGAACUCAGUGAUGUUAGUGUCACCCAGACAGGUGACCACAGAGGAGAGCGGUGAUUAAAACGAGCUGUGGAGCCACAGACCCUGAAUUUACCAGACCACAAGGCUUUUCUAGAAGUUUACCCUUUUAGAAAAACACCACCGCCACCAGACACGUGGCGAAGGGUGGAAGCCCCCAUGUGUUCGCCAAGCGCCGGGUUCUGGGCGUCACUGUCUCGAGCCCUGGUGGCUCUCACAUCCUGCCGUCUUAGGCGGGUGGUCCACGGGGUUGACAAGAGUCAAGCAGGUGUUCAUGGCUCUCCUUUCCCCCCGCUCUGUCAGGUUUCUGAAUCACAAAAAUGCUGUGAAAGGAAAUGUUAGAAUGAGGAUCUGCAUGAGAGAGUGCGACUCUGCCCACGGCUCUUUAACUCUCACACAGUUCUGCCCACAGCCAGGCAGGGCCGCUGGUGGGGGACGUGAGAUCCAGAGAGUUCAUCGUCUCUGAGAGCGAGGCAGCUUUGAUCUCCAAAUUGUUAUUGCUUUCACUAUUAUUGUACCGGAACUGCCUUUUCUUUUGGGGGGAGGCGGUAUCACAGAGGGUUCCCCCCUUUACUUGUUGUAAGCUAGUGCCAGUGGAGGAAAGGCUGGCCUCUCUGGGCUCAGAGUCUGCUUCGUGGCCAGGCCCCUGCCUUAGGCUUUCUGUGUCUGAAUGGUUCCUGGACACGUGUCUCUGUCCACUAGUCCCAUGGAUCACUCUUCCUUAGGUCCCUGCAGUCCACAGGCUGCCUUGGAUCCUCAACAGGGCCGACACUACCUACGGCCUGCGCCCUCAGCCACAUAGCCAGAUGUUGAAGUGUGUGGACAGGGACCAUUGAAGGAGGAGGGAUGCACGAAUUUAGAAGCCCAUCUUGUUGGGUGGGCCCAGUCGAAAAUAUGCUGGACCCAGGUCUAACCUAAAGUGAUCAUCAGUUCUUGUAGCAUUAAUGACAUGUUUUUAAAAAAACAUUGGAUGUGUGUCGUACAAGGUCUUUGGGGGACUCCGCGGUUUGCUCUGAUGGGGUCUCCCCCUGGCCGUUUGUUUGCCGGACCCUGAACUCACACUGGGCCUCCACCACUUCCCCGCUGUCUCAGGAGCAAGGCGUGGGCUCCGUUGUGGGAACUGGUUUGGGAGCCCCGUGGUCCUGAGUAGAGCCCAGCGGGCAGCCUGGGGCUGGCCAUGGCUUGUGAGUCUCUUGAAGAUUGUUCCGGAAUGUCUUGCCCAGCUGCUCCGGCGCUGUCUGUUCCCAUUGCAGGUCCUUAACAUUGACCCACUUGGGAAGGUGUCCCACCCCCAGUUCCAGGUGGAGAUGGUGACAAAUCUGUCCUCAUUUGGAGACGGGAGCCACCAACGGUCCUUCUCCAAACAGCAACCUGCAAUGGGGCUGUGGCCAGAAGGCUCCAGCAGCUGCCUCCGGCUUUGGGCCAGGCACUCCCAGGCGUCCCCUAAAAGUCCUUCCAGCCUCUGUCCCUAGUGUGGCUGGGCGCCAGCUCCAGGGAGUUCCCAUGGCAACCUUGAUGAUCGUUAAGGAACAUUGUCAGUUUUCUGAACAUGUGCUCAGAUGGAGAUCUGCUUUGGAAGGGAAGGACUGGGACAGCGAGAGACCUCGCUGGAGGAGCCCACGCCUGCUGACCACGAUACCUCAGCUCUGCAUCGCUUUUGGAGAGAAAUAGAUCAUCGUUUUAAGGGACUUCCCUCUUAAUUACCUGAAAACCAAUACCAAAGGCUGAUGUCAGUGUAUUUUGAUUUUUCAACGCUUUUUUCCUUUUAUCGCUAUUUUGCACUUAAAGUGAACAUGGUAAAUGUUUGAAAUAAAUAAUUUCUAAAAAAAGAC
rnacentral:lncRNA from 1 species